AGGAAGGGAAAGAGGCGUCUCCCGUGUCAAACACCCCCCCUCUCUUCGCUUCACAUCCAUUCAGCCCUUUCAAUGGCGGAGGUGAUUGAGUUCCGCGUCCCGCCUGGAAACGGCCAGACCCUCCUCGCCUUGGGUGUGGAAGAGGAGGCCUCGGAGCAUGCUUUGUAUUUAGUGUUCUCCGCAUUUGGUCUGCUCUAUUCUGUGAAAGUUCACAGAAAUGCUCCGGUCGCUAAGCCUGGUUAUUAUGCUCUUAUCAAAUUCUACUCUGCUAGAGAUGCAAGAAGAGCACAGUGUGCUUGCAACCAGAAAGCCCUGUUUCAAACAACACCUUUGAAGAUUUCUAUGUGUACCAGACAGCGGACUUUCCCGCACCAACUAGGGCUGAACAGCUACAAGUGCAGAGAACUUGCUAAUCACUAUCUUGGCUUCAAUGGCUGGUCCAGUCGCAUCAUCACUCUACAGAAUAUAUCUGGUUUUGAGGAAGUUGAAAAUGAAGAGGAAGAAAUAAGAACUUCACCCAAAAGCCAACAGUCCAAGUACCUGUGUGUUCAAGAACUAACCAUCCCUCAGCAUGGAAUCUGCACCAGAGGGGUUGGUGUGGCUGAGCUUCCGAUGGAUCCCAGCCAAGAUGUGUUAUAUGAAAUCUUCUAUGAGAAUUACUUAAUCGACAUGCAUUUAAGAAGUCCUGAAGGUUGGGGAAUGCUGAUAAGAAUUAAGACCACAGGUGAAAGAAGAUUUACAGAUCUCUAGUGAAACCUGAUGAUGCUGUCAAGGUGAUGCAUGCCAUAUGCCAGCAAAUAUGGAAAACACAAGAAUGGCCAUCAGAUUGGAAAAAAUCAAUUUAUAUCCCCAUACCCAAAAAGGGAAACACUAAAGAAUGCUCAAAAUUCCGUACAGUGGCACUUAUUUCCCAUGCCAGUAAGGUAAUGCUCAAGAUCCUGCAAGGAAGACUCCAGCAUUACAUGGAGUGAGAGUUGCCAGAUGUCCAAGCUGGGUUUAGAAAAGGCAGAGGAACGAGAGACCAAAUUGCCAAUAUCCGCUGGAUAAUGGAGGAAGCCUGGGAGUUUCAGAAAAACAUCUAUUUCUGCUUUAUUGACUAUUCUAAAGCCUUUGACUGUGUGGAUCAUAGUUAUUUAUUUACUGUGGCAUGUACUUGGUGGUAUGGGGAUACCAAGUCACCUUGUCUGUCUCCUGAGAAAUCUGUAUAAAGACCAAGUAGCCACAGUAAGAACAGACCAUGGAACAACAGACUGGUUCAAGAUUGGGAAAGGAGUACGGCAGGGCUGUAUACUUUCACCCUACCUAUUCAACUUGUAUGCAGAACACAUCAUGCGACGUGCAGGGCUUGAUGAAUCCAAGGCUGGAGUUAAAAUUGCUGGAAGAAACAUUAACAGCCUUAGGUAUGCAGAUGAUACCACCUGACCGAUUGAUAACUGGCAAAUAGAGGGAGAAAAUGUGGAGGCAGUGACAGACUUUAUAUUUCUAGGCGCGAAGAUCACUGCAGAUGCAGAUGUAGACUGCAGCCAGGAAAUCAGAAGACGUCUACUUCUUGGGAGGAGAGCAAUGCCCAACCUCGAUAAAAUAGUGAAAAGCAGAGACAUCACACUGGCAACGAAGGUCCGCAUAGUUAAAGCAAUUGUAUUCCCCAUAGUAACCUAUGGUUGUGAGAGCUGGAUCAUAAGGAAGGCUGAGCGAAGGAAGAUAGAUGCUUUUGAACUUUGGUGCUGGAGGAAAAUCCUGAGAGUGCCUUGGACCGCAAGAAGAUCCAACCAGUCCAUCCUCCAGGAAAUAAUGCCCGGCUGCUCACUGGAGGGAAGGAUAUUAGAGGCAAGGAUGACGUAUUUUGGCUACAUCAUGAGAAGACAGGAAAUCUUGAAAAAGAUCAUGAUGCUGGGAAAAAUGGAAGGAAAAAGGAAGAGAGACCAACCAAGGGCGAGAUGGAUGGACGGUAUCCUUGAAGUGACAGCCUUGACUUUGAGAGAACAAGGGGCGGCAACAGUCGAAAGGGAGCUCUGGCGUGGACUGGUCCAUGAGGUCACAAAGAGUAGGAAACGACUGUGUGAAUGAAGAAGAAUGAAACCUGCAGAGGGCAGCUGGUUUCAUGUGACUACUCACAGCCUCCAGAAGCUCGCUGUGCAAAGGGCCCUCUCAGAUGCAUUUCAGAAGAUACUCUUGGUAGUUCUAGAGAAUGGAAAGGUGGCUGUGGAGUAUAGCUCUUCCCAGGAUGACC